rnacentral:tRNA from 1 species
CGGGAGGUAGCUUAACGAAUAGAGCGCCCUGCUAUACCAGCGGGGAGGCGGAGGUUUGAUCCCUUCCCUCCCGA